rnacentral:rRNA from 1 species
AUUGAACGCUGGCGGCAGGCCUAACACAUGCAAGUCUAACGAGUGGCGGACGGGUGAGUAAUGUCUGGGAAACUGACCGAUGGAGGGGGCUAACUUCUGGAAACGGUAGCUAAUCCCGCAUACCAUCGGAUGUGCCCAGAUGGGAUUAGCUUGUAGGUGAGGUAACGGCUCACUUAGGCGACGAUCCCUAGCUGUGUUGAGAGGAUGACCAGGCACAAUGGAAGUGAGAUCCGGUCCAGACCACUCAGGGAGGCAGCAGGGGGGAAUAUUGCACGAUGGGUGCAAGCCUGAUGCAGCCAUGCCGCGUGUAUGAAGAAGGCCUUCGGGUUGUAAAGUACUUUCGGCGGGGAAGCGUUACCCGCUGAAGAAGCACCGGCUAACUCCGUGCCAGCAGCCGCGGUAAUUC